rnacentral:rRNA from 1 species
GACGAACGCUGGCGGUGUGCUUAACACAUGCAAGUCGAACGGUAAGGCCCUUUCCGGGGUACACGAGUGGCGGACGGGGGCGUAAGACGUGAGUAUGCUGCCCUCAUCUCUGGGAUAACAGUCGGUAACGGUUGCUAAUACUGGUUAUGGGCUUGCAUGUCAUCUGGUGGGUUGGAAAGAUUUUUUUUGGUUGGGGAUGGACUCGCGGCGUAUCCGCUUGUUGGUGGGGUGGUGGCUCACCAAGGCUUCGACGGGUAGCCGGCCUGAGAGGGCGAACGGCCACAUUGGGACUGAGAUACGGGCCACACUCCUACAGGAGGCAGCAGUGGGGAAUAUUGCACAAUGGACGGAAGUCUGAUGCAGCAACGCCGCGUGCGGGAUGACGGCCUUCGGGUUGUAAACCGCUUUCAAUUGGGAAGAAGCUUUUUUGUGACGGUAGCAGUAGAAGAAGCACCGGCUAACUACGUG